AUUGAACGCUGGCGGCAGGCCUAACACAUGCAAGUCGAACGCAGUGGGGACGGGUGAGUAACACGUGGGUAACCUCCCAUCAGAGGGGAUAACACUUGGAAACAGGUGCUAAACCGAUACUGAUGGAUGAACCCGCGGUGCAUUAGCUAGUUGGUGAGGUAACGGCUCACCAAGGCCACGUUGCAUAGCGUGCCUUAUAGGUGGAUCGGCCAAACUGGGACUGAGACACGGCCCAGACUCCUACGGGAGGCAGCAGUAGGGAAUCUUCGGCAAUGGACGAAAGUCUGACCGAGCAACGCCGCGUGAGUGAAGAAGGUUUUCGGAUCGUAAAACUCUGUUGUUAGGGAAGCGGUAUCUAACCAGAAAGCAACGCCUAACUACGUGCCAGCCGCCGCGGUAAUAC
rnacentral:rRNA from 1 species